rnacentral:rRNA from 1 species
GAUUGAACGCUGGCGGUAUGCUUAACACAUGCAAGUCGAACGGAAACGAUACUAGCUUGCUAGUAGGCGUCGAGUGGCGGACGGGUGAGUAACGCGUAGGAAUCUGCCUGAUAGUGGGGGAUAGCCCGAAGAAAUUCGGAUUAAUACCGCAUAAUCUAUUCGUAGUAAAGUGGGGGACUUUCGAGCCUCACGCUAUCAGAUGAGCCUGCGUAAGAUUAGCUUGUUGGUGGGGUAAAAGCCCACCAAGGCGACGAUCUUUAGCUGGUCUGAGAGGAUGAUCAGCCACAUCGGGACUGAGACACGGCCCGAACUCCUACGGGAGGCAGCAGUGGGGAAUAUUGGACAAUGGGGGCAACCCUGAUCCAGCAAUACCGCGUGUGUGAAGAAGGCCUGAGGGUUGUAAAGCACUUUCAAUUGUGAAGAAAAGUUAGCGGUUAAUAACCGUUAGCCUUGACGUUAACUUUAGAAGAAGCACCGGCUAACUCCGUGCCAGCAGCCGCGGUAAUACGGAGGGUGCAAGCGUUAAUCGGAAUUACUGGGCGUAAAGCGUGCGUAGCGGUUUAUUAAGUCAGAUGUGAAAGCCCCGGGCUUAACCUGGGAACUGCAUUUGAAACUGGUCAACUAGAGUAUGGUAGAGGAAAGUGGAAUUUCUGGUGUAGCGGGUGAAAUGCGUAGAUAUCAGAAGGAACAUCAAUGGCGAAGGCAGCUUUCUGGACCAAUACUGACGCUGAGGUACGAAAGCGUGGGUAGCAAACAGGAUUAGAUACCCUGGUAGUCCACGCCGUAAACGAUGAUAACUAGCCGUUGGGGGGAUUUACCCUUUAGUGGCGAAGCUAACGCGUUAAGUUAUCCGCCUGGGGAGUACGGCCGCAAGGUUAAAACUCAAAGGAAUUGACGGGGACCCGCACAAGCGGUGGAGCAUGUGGUUUAAUUCGAUGCAACGCGAAGAACCUUACCUGGUCUUGACAUCCUGCGAACUUUCUAGAAAUAGAUUGGUGCCUUCGGGAACGCAGUGACAGGUGCUGCAUGGCUGUCGUCAGCUCGUGUCGUGAGAUGUUGGGUUAAGUCCCGUAACGAGCGCAACCCCUAUCCUUAUUUGCCAGCACAUUAUGGUGGGAACUAUAAGGAGACUGCCGGUGAUAAACCGGAGGAAGGCGGGGACGACGUCAAGUCAUCAUGGCCCUUACGACCAGGGCUACACACGUGCUACAAUGGGAAGGACAAAGAGCCGCGAAGCCGCGAGGUGUAGCUAAUCUCAUAAACCUUUUCGUAGUCCGGAUUGGAGUCUGCAACUCGACUCCAUGAAGUCGGAAUCGCUAGUAAUCGUAGAUCAGAAUGCUACGGUGAAUACGUUCCCGGGUCUUGUACACACCGCCC